rnacentral:rRNA from 1 species
AUGCCGUCAUGGCCGAACAGCAACGAGACGUCGGACGACGAUGAUGAGUACAUGAGCGAGUUCAGCAGCAUGCAGAUGGAGUACUUUCUAACUCCUGACACUGUGAUAGACCCUAGUUUCUGUGGGCUUGUGACUGAAUCUGAUAGAAGGUGCAUCCUGCACAGGCAGAGGCCAGGUAAGUUUGUGGCAUUUGAAGGCACUGACACUGGUAGGAGAGUCAUAGGAUGUUCUACUAAGGCAAUGAAUGAACUGAAGGAGAAGAAGAAGCAAGUUGAGGAGCAGGCAAAAAUUGAGCUUCAAAUGGAGAAGCUUAAGCUCAAGAAAGAAUAUAGGUGCAUCCUUCAGAGUCAAGCUGAUAUAAUCCAAAACACAAGGAAGGCCAUGAAGGAGAUAGAGGUGGACAGAGACCUCCUUAAAGAAGAGAAGAAGAAGCUGGAGAAGGUCAUUGCUGAGCUCCUGAAGGUUGGUCAUGGGUGCAAGGAAAAGCUGGACAAGAUCAAGGAAGCCGUGAUGGAGGAGUGA